CCUUGUUAGCUCAGUUGAUAGAGCGCUCCACCGAAAACGGAGAGGUCUCUGGUUCCAUACCAGGACCAAGCG
rnacentral:tRNA from 1 species